rnacentral:rRNA from 1 species
GAGAUAUACUCCUAAGAUCUUGAGGCUGGAAUGCGCUAAGAUUGAAAGCUUCGGCGCCUAAGGAUGAGUCUGCGGACUAUCAGGUUGUAGUCAGGGUAAAGACCUGACUAGCCUACGACGGAUACGGGUUGUGAGAGCAAUAACCCGGAGAUGAUAUCUGAGACACGAUAUCAGGCCCUACGGGGCGCAGCAGGCGCGAAAACUUCACAAUGCGCGAAAGCGCGAUGAGGGGAUCCCAAGUGCUUGCACGUAAGUGUAAGCUGUUUUUCUGUUUAAAAAGCAGAGAGAGUAAGAGCUGGGUAAGACGGGUGCCAGCCGCCGCGGUAAUACCUGCAGCUCAAGUGGUGGCCGCUAUUAUUGGGCCUAAAACGUCCGUAGCCGGCUAAGUAAAUGCCUGGGUAAAUCGUGCCGCUUAACGGUACGAAUUCCGGGUAGACUGCUUAGCUUGGGACCGGAAGAAGUUAGAGGUACUCCUGGGGUAGGGGUGAAAUCCUGUAAUCCUGGGGGGACCACCAGUGGCGAAGGCGUCUAACUAGGACGGGUCUGACGGUGAGGGACGAAGCCUGGGGCGCAAACCGGAUUAAAUACCCGGGUAGUCCAGGGUGUAACGCUGCUCCUUGAUGUUAGUCGGGCUCCAACCCACU